rnacentral:rRNA from 1 species
AGAGUUUGAUCCUGGCUCAGAAUCAACGCUGGCGGCGCGCCUAACACAUGCAAGUCGAGCGAGAAAGUGGAGCAAUCCAUGAGUACAGCGGCGUACGGGUGAGUAACACGUGGAUGAUCUACCUCUUAGUGGGGAAUAACUCUGGGAAACCGGAGCUAAUACCGCAUAAGUCCUUCGGGAGAAAGCAGCAAUGCGCUGGGAGAGGAGUCCGCGGCCGAUUAGCUAGUUGGCAGGGUAAAAGCCUACCAAGGCAUCGAUCGGUAGCCGGCCUGAGAGGGCACACGGCCACACUGGCACUGAAACACGGGCCAGACUCCUACGGGAGGCAGCAGUGGGGAAUCUUGCACAAUGGGGGAAACCCUGAUGCAGCGACGCCGCGUGAGCGAUGAAGCCCUUCGGGGUGUAAAGCUCUUUCGGCAGGGAAGAUGAUGACG